GGUGGGGAUUCUUGCAGGAAACUAACUGCCCAACUGAAACAUUUGGAUUUGAAUUUGAAAGGACAGCAGGUGCAGUCACUUAACUGAAAAAUUAAAAGAUCUACUCAAUUUAAGAAAAUGGACACAAUUCAAUGGAUAUCAAUCAACAAAGAGGUAUACAGAUGAGGAGGCAUACAAUGGUAUGUCUAUUGGUAUGUUAUGCAGAUCACAUGUACCAUCCUCCUCCCUUAACUCUUCAAUGAAAAUCCCAUAGGCCUCUACAUUAUGGGCAAGACUUCACCCUCCCUACACCUCUGAAUAUAACAGGAAACCUGUUUGAUCAGCAUGCAAUGCAAAAUAAUUCUGGCUAUGGAUACGGAGAACAUCAACACAUUAACAUCAACACGCCAGAGGAUUUACCCAUUAGAAGGGGCUC